CUUUUAAAUAGAUCGCAGAAAGGAAUGGAAAAAUAUUAAUUCCCAAAUUUGGUUUGUGUUGGCCAACGACUAAGUAACUAAGGGUACCUACAGAAGUUUUUUCUGUGAAAAUUUCAAUUAAUUUGUUAAUAAAAGCCAUGUUUCAACGUCAAGAAAAAAGUAUACUCAGAAAAAUGUGACAGAGACCACAUUCAUUUAAUUACAUCAUAACUAAUAUGAUGAAGUUUCUUAAAAUUUAAAUAAGACUUGAGGUAGUACCACAAGAGAAAUAUGUAGAACUGAGGAACAAAACCAUGUUCAAGAAAAAAACCAAAAGCCAGCAUACCAAAAUCGAAAAUGAGCAUACCCCAUACUCAUAGGUAAUUGUUUGAAAUACUGGCAUCCUCAAAAAACCAACAUACUAUCCAACAACAUACCGUCUAAUUACGUAUUACCUUACUUCUUUCUGUUUCUGUUUUUUUGUGAUCUACUUCCAAGUUCAUAGGCUGGAGUUUUUUAAAGGAUUUUUAUUUUAUAAUUUAAGUUUACCGAUUAAAAAAAUGUAUGUGUCGGCGGCUUUGAAAAUUGUAAUUUUUUUUGUGGGCAUCGUACAUACAUACAUAUAUCAUUGAAGCAUUAUAUAAAAGGUGAAAUAAUAAUUUUUCUGGUAAUAUAAAAUUUAAAGCAGGUUAUUAUUUACAAAAAUUUUAAAUGUAAUGGAAAAAAAAGUUUGAAAACUGAUUGCAUUCAAAAUAUUUCAGUUCUUUUUUUUUUUGAUACGCAUACAUACCUAAUUAGUUUUAGCUGAAAUAAUAUGCUUUGUUAAUAUUUUUUUUUGUAAAAUUCGAUUGCCUUCAAAAAGUUAUUACUAUCUUUUGCUCUAAAAAACAUAGGUACAUUUAGUUUUUGUUAUAAAAAUAUAAAUAUUUUAUGUCGAUGGUUGAAAAAAUUGACCGAAUGUUUACAUAACUAAUCUUCUAAAAAUGCGUUAAAGUACCUAUCCAAUGAUAAUAAAACAAGUAACACUACCUAAUAGCCUAAUUUUUUAUGUAAUAUGUAGGACUUUACUUAUUGAAAACAAAAUAAACAAUUUAUAAAUCUAAAAUUGAUAUUCUAAUUUAUUAACUCUACCCAAUUAUAUAUGUUUCUGGUUGAUUAAUUUCUUUUUAUUUAAUUUUAAUUUUUUUUUUAUAAUAAGUGGCGCACUAAUAGACCAGCGCGGUGACGUAUAAUAACGCCCUACGAAAUAAGGCCCCAUUUGAAAUGCGGCUUUAUAUCCAUGGAAAAACCGAAAUAGCGCCCGACGGGCCUUAUUUCAGUUGCAAUAUAGAAAUAAGACCCCGUUCGAGAUAGAAAUAAGGCCGCAUUUCUGGAGGAAGCGAAAUCUUGCUUCGUGUUCAAUGUUCAUAGUACCUAAGUAAUAAAAAGUGAGAAGAAUAUGGGAGGGGGAUGCGGCUUUCUUAUGGGACAUUACUUCACUUAGAGUAGGAAAUAAUUUCACUUUUUUUGGGAAGCUCGCUGAAUGUGAGAGCAAACAUUUUUUUUUGGAACGAAAUUCACUCUUGGGUGAAGUGGGAGGUGGAAAAUAAUUUUUCUUUUUAAUACUGUAGGUAUCUUAUUAGAUAAGGUGUCUGUGGCACAUUUUUUUUUUUUACAUUUAAGAAAUUCAAAAUAAAUAAAAUUGAGUUAUAUACCUA